rnacentral:rRNA from 1 species
GAUGAACGCUGGCGGCGUGCCUAAUACAUGCAAGUCGAGCGAACGGACGAGAAGCUUGCUUCUCUGACGUUAGCGGCGGACGGGUGAGUAACACGUGGAUAACCUACCUAUAAGACUGGGAUAACUUCGGGAAACCGUAGCUAAUACCGGAUAAUAUUUUGAACCGCAUGGUUCAAUAGUGAAAGACGGUCUUGCUGUCACUUAUAGAUGGAUCCGCGCUGCAUUAGCUAGUUGGUAAGGUAACGGCUUACCAAGGCAACGAUGCGUAGCCGACCUGAGAGGGUGAUCGGCCACACUGGAACUGAGACACGGUCCAGACUCCUACGGGAGGCAGCAGUAGGGAAUCUUCCGCAAUGGGCGAAAGCCUGACGGAGCAACGCCGCGUGAGUGAUGAAGGUCUUCGGAUCGUAAAACUCUGUUAUUAGGGAAGAACAUAUGUGUAAGUAACUGUGCACGUCUUGACGGUACCUAAUCAGAAAGCCACGGCUAACUACGUG